rnacentral:lncRNA from 1 species
UUACACUUUAGAAUUUCGCAUUUAAUCCUUUGAUUCUAAGUUCCGAUUCUCUUGGCUUGCUGUUCAUAUUGAGAUUUCGUGAUAGAAGAGUCGCUGCUCACAACUCGUUUGUCCUAGUCUCGCUGCCCCGGAAGAGGUAAAGCUCUUCCCUUUGCAAUACUCUUUUUGCCCUUUGCUAUUUUGACUUGGCGUUAUUCGUCGUAGUAUGUUUCUGUCCUUCGAGUUCUUAAUGUCUUAAUUUGAGAUUCUUAUAGCGUUGUUUUAGUUGACUUAAAUUUAAGCUGUAAGUUUUGGUGUAUAUAAUUCUUUGACUGUAAAUCGUUAUACUCAUCUAAAAUCGAUUCGUAUAUUGCUCGAUAAUCUUACUCGUUGUCUUUUUUUUUAAAAUUUAUUUGCUUAGUGUGAGUUCUCUUCAUGCUCAUUUGGUCUCUAGUACUUGGAAUUCUUUCUCCCUGUAUAUCCCCUGCUCAAUAUAGGUUAUUAAAAUAUGCAUUCAAAUACUUCUCGUGUAUUAUUCCUAUUUUUGAAAGCUAAUCCGCUUUUCAAGUUUAGAUGUAGCAUGUUUAUUUGAACUAGUUAAUAGAAAGGUUUGAAGGUGAAGCCUCUCCAUUCCGUGAAGCUAGUGAACUAGUUGACGGUCUGAUUUAAUACAAGUGCGAGAUGAGUCUUUUUUGGAUUAGAAAGUAGUCAUUUGAGUUAGAUCUUUAACGAGGUUUGAGUUCGCUAAUUCUUAUCUAAAUCGAUGAGUUGGGUCUUAUUUUAGGAGCAUGUUAUAGGUUGUUUCUUUCUUGGUGAAGCAUAUAGUCAAGUAACUGGUUUGCUCUCCUCUUCUCUGUAAUUAUGUUGGCUUUAGAAGUUAUUGUUUCGAGUAUGGAUUAGAGUCAUCGCAUGUCCAUUCUUAAUUCAUUUUUUUAUGCGACUCAAGCAUUCCCAUUAACAUAUAUAGAAUUGUUAUCCUUGUCAAGCAUACCUUUGGUGAUGUAUAUUUGGAUUGUCUUGGAUUUUUGUGUAGUAAUUUUAUCUCGCGCAAGCUAUAUUUUCUGCCCAUUUGCUCUCUUUUUCUUUGUGUGUUGAUAUGUUUGGUUAUUUCUUUUGUACUUGUUGCACCAUUUCGAAUGCUAAUGUUGUCUCUUUUCGCUUGUUGUAUGAACCCCUCCCGAGUCCAUGAUGGACUUCUCUUCUUUGCAUUGCCGAGUUGAGCCAUAAAAGCUCUUUUCUUUGUCAUUCGAGUUGGCCAGGCCAUCGAGAGUAGGUGUACAUGUGGAAAGCAUCAAAUAGGGCCUGAAAUUGGAUUAACAGGUUCUGGAAAGCUGAAAGCAGGCUGAGGUACAGCAUGUAUACAUUGGUAUACCAGCUGUAUACAUACUAAAAUACCAUAUACAUGUCCAAAAACGAAAAUACAGGUUGGAGACAUCAAAAUGAAUCGUAUACAAUUGGUAUACGGUUCAAUAUACAGGAAAAUGGGCCAUGACACGACCUGUAUACAGCUGUAUACAUUUGGUGUAUAUAUAAAAUUUCAAGGGGCCAAAGUAGGGCCAAAGCCCAAACAAUUGCAGCAGGCCCAAGGAGGCCCAAAUUCAUUUCUCCUUUACUCUUAACUUAUUCAAUUGUGUGAUUAUUAUUUUUAUUAUUUAACUCUAACUUUCAAUUAACUUAAUUAAGAUUCCCCAAAAGAUGAGUUAUUUCUUUGUGUUGGUGUGCUUUAAAAUUAUUAUUUUUUGUGUUGAGG